CCUGAACAGGAAGGCAAUUCACACCCCCGAUGUCCAGCUCGAUCGUGACAACAAUCAACAAUUCUCGCAGAUGCUGCCAGACCUGCCAAGUUUCUCCAGCGUUCUCUGAAUCUGUGAGAUAUCUCCACUUCAAUAAGGAAGUCCUCACUGAAAUCUGUGCCUGUUGCUGAUGGAACUGGAGAUUUGCAGCUUGUGUGAGAGAUACUGCCCACUCUGCUGGGGAGAUGGUCAAAUUGGACCCAUGCUUGCUAGAGUUCAGAAGAAUGAGAAAUUAUUGUGGUUGGUUGGCUCGAGCUACAAAUCUAC